GACGAACGCUGGCGGCGUGCCUAAUACAUGCAAGUAGAACGCUGAAGGAGGAGCUUGCUUCUCUGGAUGAGUUGCGAACGGGUGAGUAACGCGUAGGUAACCUGCCUGGUAGCGGGGGAUAACUAUUGGAAACGAUAGCUAAUACCGCAUAAUAGUAGAUGUCGCAUGACAUUUGCUUAAAAGGUGCAAUUGCAUCACUACCAGAUGGACCUGCGUUGUAUUAGCUAGUUGGUGAGGUAACGGCUCACCAAGGCAACGAUACAUAGCCGACCUGCGAGGGUGAGCGGCCACGCUGGGACUGAGACACGACCCAGACUCCUACGGGAGGCAGCAGUAGGGAAUCUUCGGCAAUGGACGGAAGUCUGACCGAGCAACGCCGCGUGAGUGAAGAAGGUUUUCGGAUCGUAAAGCUCUGUUGUAAGAGAAGAACGAGUGUGAGAGUGGAAAGUUCACACUGUGACGGUAUCUUACCAGAAAGCGACGGCUAACUACGUG
rnacentral:rRNA from 1 species